CCAGACUCCUACGGGAGGCAGCAGUGGGGAAUAUUGGGCAAUGGGCGCAAGCCUGACCCAGCAACGCCGCGUGAAGGAAGAAGGCUUUCGGGUUGUAAACUUCUUUUAAGAGGGACGAAACAAAUGACGGUACCUCUUGAAUAAGCCACGGCUAACUACGUGCCAGCAGCCGCGGUAAUACGUAGGUGGCAAGCGUUAUCCGGAUUUAUUGGGUGUAAAGGGCGUGUAGGCGGGAAAGCAAGUCAGAUGUGAAAACUAUGGGCUCAACCCAUAGCCUGCAUUUGAAACUGUUUUUCUUGAGUGCUGGAGAGGCAAUCGGAAUUCCGUGUGUAGCGGUGAAAUGCGUAGAUAUACGGAGGAACACCGGCGGCUAAGGCGGCCUGCUGGACCGUGACUGACGUUGAGGCUCGAGAGCGUGGGGAGCAAACAGGAUUAGAUACCCCGGUA
rnacentral:rRNA from 1 species